AGGAAACCGAGGCUAUAGACAGGAAACAGAGGCUAUAGACAGGAAACAGAGGCUAUAGACAGCCGGUUAGUCAGGCUGAUUGAGGUAGUAUGUACAUAUGGUUAAAGUGACUAUAUAUAUAGGGUGAACAGAGAGGAGCAGCAGAGAGGCUAUAUACAGACAGAUAUAUAGGAUGAACAGAGAGGCUAUAUACAGACAGAGAUAUAUAGGGUGAACAGAGAGGCUAUAUACAGACAGAGAUAUAUAGGAUGAACAGAGAGGCUAUAUACAGACAGAGAUAUAUAGGAUGAACAGAGAGGCUAUAUACAGACAGAGAUAUAUAGGAUGAACAGAGAGGCUAUAUACAGACAGAUAUAUAUAGGAUGAACAGAGAGGCUAUAUACAGACAUAGAUAUAUAGGAUGAACAGAGAGGCUAUAUACAGACAGAUAUAUAUAGGAUGAACAGAGAGGCUAUAUACAGACAGAGAUAUAUAGGAUGAACAGAGAGGC
rnacentral:lncRNA from 1 species